UGCAAGUCGAGCGGUAGAGAGAAGCUUGCUUCUCUUGAGAGCGGCGGACGGGUGAGUAAUGCCUAGGAAUCUGCCUGGUAGUGGGGGAUAACGUUCGGAAACGGACGCUAAUACCGCAUACGUCCUACGGGAGAAAGCAGGGGACCUUCGGGCCUUGCGCUAUCAGAUGAGCCUAGGUCGGAUUAGCUAGUUGGUGAGGUAAUGGCUCACCAAGGCGACGAUCCGUAACUGGUCUGAGAGGAUGAUCAGUCACACUGGAACUGAGACACGGUCCAGACUCCUACGGGAGGCAGCAGUGGGGAAUAUUGGACAAUGGGCGAAAGCCUGAUCCAGCCAUGCCGCGUGUGUGAAGAAGGUCUUCGGAUUGUAAAGCACUUUAAGUUGGGAGGAAGGGCAGUUACCUAAUACGUGAUUGUUUUGACGUUACCGACAGAAUAAGCACCGGCUAACUCUGUGCCAGCAGCCGCGGUAAUACAGAGGGUGCAAGCGUUAAUCGGAAUUACUGGGCGUAAAGCGCGCGUAGGUGGUUUGUUAAGUUGGAUGUGAAAUCCCCGGGCUCAACCUGGGAACUGCAUUCAAAACUGACUGACUAGAGUAUGGUAGAGGGUGGUGGAAUUUCCUGUGUAGCGGUGAAAUGCGUAGAUAUAGGAAGGAACACCAGUGGCGAAGGCGACCACCUGGACUAAUACUGACACUGAGGUGCG
rnacentral:rRNA from 1 species